rnacentral:rRNA from 1 species
AACGAACGCUGGCGGCGUGCCUAACACAUGCAAGUCGAACGUGAUUGAGAGCUUGCUCUCAUGAAAGUGGCGCACGGGUGAGUAACGCGUAGAUAAUCUACCUGGUGAUCCGGGAUAACACCUCGAAAGGGGUGCUAAUACCUGAUAAGCCCACGGGGUCUUCGGACUCUGCGGGAAAAGGGGGGGACCUUUAGGCCUUCCGUCAUCAGAUGAGUCUGCGUACCAUUAGCUAGUUGGUAGGGUAAAGGCCUACCAAGGCGACGAUGGUUAGCUGGUCUGAGAGGAUGAUCAGCCACACUGGAACCGAGACACGGUCCAGACUCCUACGGGAGGCAGCAGUGGGGAAUUUUGCGCAAUGGGGGAAACCCUGACGCAGCAACGCCGCGUGAGUGAUGAAGGCCCUUGGGUCGUAAAGCUCUGACAGAGGGAAAGAAGUGCAGGGGAGCUAAUAUCUCCUUUGCUUGACGGUACCCUCAAAGGAAGCACCGGCUAACUCCGUGCCAGCCGCCGCGGUAAUAC